rnacentral:rRNA from 1 species
GUGGGGAAUAUUGGACAAUGGGCGAAAGCCUGAUCCAGCCAUGCCGCGUGUGUGAAGAAGGUCUUCGGAUUGUAAAGCACUUUAAGUUGGGAGGAAGGGCAGUAAGUUAAUACCUUGCUGUUUUGACGUUACCGACAGAAUAAGCACCGGCUAACUUCGUGUCAGCAGCCGCGGUAAUACGAAGGGUGCAAGCGUUAAUCGGAAUUACUGGGCGUAAAGCGCGCGUAGGUGGUUUUGUAAGUUGGAGGUGAAAUCCCCGGGCUCAACCUGGGAACUGCCUCCAAAACUGCAUGACUAGAGUACGGUAGAGGGUAGUGGAAUUUCCUGUGUAGCGGUGAAAUGCGUAGAUAUAGGAAGGAACACCAGUGGCGAAGGCGACUACCUGGACUGAUACUGACACUGAGGUGCGAAAGCGUGGGGAGCAAACAGGAUUAGAUACCCCAGUAGUCC